rnacentral:rRNA from 1 species
GAUGAACGCUGGCGGCGUGCUUUACACAUGCAAGUCGAACGGUAAGGCCCUUUCGGGGGUACACGAGCGGCGAACGGGUGAGUAACACGUGGGUGACCUGCCCUCAGCUCUGGGAUAAGCCUGGGAAACCGGGUCUAAUACUGGAUAUGACUCCAUGACGCAUGUUGUGGGGUGGAAAGCCUUGUGCGGCUGAGGAUGGGCCCGCGGCCUAUCAGCUUGUUGGUGGGGUGAUGGCCUACCAAGGCGA